rnacentral:rRNA from 1 species
CCCGGUGUAGCGGUGAAAUGCGUAGAUAUCGGGAGGAACACCAGUGGCGAAGGCGGCUUUCUGGCUCACAACUGACGCUCAGGCGCGAAAGCUGGGGGAGCAAACAGGAUUAGAUACCCUGGUAGUCCCAGCCGUAAACGAUGGAUACUAGGUGUGGGGGGAUCGACCCCCUCCGUGCCGCAGUUAACGCAAUAAGUAUCCCACCUGGGGAGUACGGCCGCAAGGCUGAAACUCAAAGGAAUUGACGGGGGCCCGCACAAGCGGUGGAGCAUGUGGUUUAAUUCGAUGCAACGCGAAGAACCUUACCAGGGCUUGACAUCCCCUGCUACCUAUCGAAAGAUGGGGUUCUCUUCGGAGACAGGGAGACAGGUGGUGCAUGGUUGUCGUCAGCUCGUGUCGUGAGAUGUUAGGUUAAGUCCUGCAACGAGCGCAACCCCUAUCUUUAGUUGCUAACACUUCGGGUGAGCACUCUAAAGAGACUGCCGGUGAUAAACCGGAGGAAGGUGGGGACGACGUCAAAUCAUCAUGCCCUUUAUGUCCUGGGCUACACACGUGCUACAAUGGCUCAUACAGAGGGAAGCGACCUGGCGACAGGAAGCGGAUCCCUUAAAGUGGGUCACAGUUCGGGUUGCAGGCUGCAACUCGCCUGCAUGAAGUCGGAAUCGCUAGUAAUCGCAGGUCAGCAUACUGCGGUGAAUACGUUCCCGGGCCUUGUACACACCGCCCGUCACACCACGAAAGUCUGUCAUGCCCGAAGCCGGUGGCCUAACCGUAAGGAGGGAGCCGUCUAAGGCGGGACAGGUGAUUGGGGUGAAGUCGUAACAAGGUAACCGUA